rnacentral:rRNA from 1 species
UGGGGAAUAUUGCGCAAUGGGCGAAAGCCUGACGCAGCGACGCCGCGUGGGGGAUGAAGGCCUUCGGGUUGUAAACCCCUUUCAGCAGGGACGAAGCGAAAGUGACGGUACCUGCAGAAGAAGCGCCGGCUAACUACGUGCCAGCAGCCGCGGUAACACGUAGGGCGCAAGCGUUGUCCGGAAUUAUUGGGCGUAAAGAGCUCGUAGGCGGUCUGUUGCGUCCGCUGUGAAAACUCGGGGCUUAACCCCGAGCCUGCAGUGGAUACGGGCAGACUAGAGGUAGGUAGGGGAGAAUGGAAUUCCCGGUGUAGCGGUGAAAUGCGCAGAUAUCGGGAGGAACACCGGUGGCGAAGGCGGUUCUCUGGGCCUUACCUGACGCUGAGGAGCGAAAGCGUGGGGAGCGAACAGGAUUAGAUACCCCCGUAGUCC